CCGAAAAUCCAAGGGUUCCUGCGUAAAGCUAAUCUACGCAGGGUGAGCCGGCCCCUAAGCCGAGGCAGAGAUGCGUAGGUGAUGGGAACGAGGUUAAUAUUCCUCGGCCUGGAGAUGAGUGACGGAUUGUGAACUGUGUUCCUCCUUAAUGGAUUGGAGGGGCGCUGCAGCAGUCCCAGGAAAUAGCCUCUCCAUAUAGACCGUACCCGAAACCGACACAGGUGGUCAGGUAGAGUAUACCAAGGC
rnacentral:rRNA from 11 species